CCUACGGGUGGCUGCAGUGGGGAAUAUUGGGCAAUGGGCGCAAGCCUGACCCAGCAACGCCGCGUGAAUGAAGAAGGCUUUCGGGUUGUAAACUUCUUUUCUGAGGGACGAAGGAAGUGACGGUACCUCAGGAAUAAGCCACGGCUAACUACGUGCCAGCAGCCGCGGUAAUACGUAGGUGGCAAGCGUUAUCCGGAUUAAUUGGGUGGAAAGGGCGUGUAGACGGGAAAGCAAGUCAGAUGGGAAAACUCAUGGCUCAACCCUGAGACUGCAUUUGAAACUGUGUUUAUUAAGUGCUGGAGAGGCAAGCGGGAAUCCGUGGGUAGCGGUGAAAUGCGUAG
rnacentral:rRNA from 1 species